ensembl:rRNA 5S_rRNA 5S ribosomal RNA
ACUUACGGCCACACCUCCCUGAGCACGCCCGAUCUCGUCUGAUCACGAAGCUAAGCAGGGUCGGGCCCGGUUAGUACUUGGAUGGGAGACCGCCUGGGAAUACCAGGUGCUGUAAGCC